rnacentral:rRNA from 1 species
UACAGAGACCUCAAGCGUUAUCCGGAAUCAUUGGGCGUAAAGCGUACCGAUAGGUGGUUGAGAAAGCCAGAAGUGAAAUCUCCAGGCUCAACUUGGAGACUGUCUUUUGGAACUUCUCGACUAGAGGGGCAAAGAGGAAGCUGGAACGAACGGUGUAGUAGUGAAAUGCGUUGAUAUCGUUCGGAACACCAAUAGCGAAGGCGGGCUUCUGGGUGCCACCUGACACUGCUAGGACGAAAGCGUGGGGAGCGAAUGGG